GCGAGUGUAGUUUAGUGGUAAAAUGACAGCCUUCCAAGCUGUAGUUGCGGGUCCGAUUCCCGUCACUCGCU
rnacentral:tRNA from 1 species